CAGUCGCCACGGUAAUACGGAGGGUGCAAGCGUUAAUCGGAAUUACUGGGCGUAAAGCGCACGCAGGCGGUUUGUUAAGUCAGAUGUGAAAUCCCCGAGCUUAACUUGGGAACUGCAUUUGAAACUGGCAGGCUAGAGUCUCGUAGAGGGGGGUAGAAUUCCAGGUGUAGCGGUGAAAUGCGUAGAGAUCUGGAGGAAUACCGGUGGCGAAGGCGGGCCCCUGGACAAAGACUGACGCUCAGGUGCGAAAGCGUGGGGAGCAAACAGGAUUAGAUACCCGGGUAGUCCCUGUCUCUUAUAC
rnacentral:rRNA from 1 species